AAAGACUUAGUCCUAACCUUACUGUUAGUUUUUGCUAGACAUAUACAUGCAAGUAUCUGCGCCCCAGUGAAAAUGCCCCAGGCUCCUUACCAAGGCAACAGGAGCAGGUAUCAGGCCCACCCUCUCGUAGCCCAAGACACCUUGCCCAGCCACACCCCCACGGGUAUUCAGCAGUAAUUGAUAUUAAGCAAUAAGCGUAAGCUUGACUUAGUCAUAGCAGCCCCUCAAGGGCCGGUAGAUCUUGUGCCAGCCACCGCGGUUAUACAAGAGGCCCAAACUAACCGUACGCGGCGUAAAGAGUGGAGCCCCACUAUCGCCUCAACUAGGAUUGAAGCGCACCUAGGCUGUCAUAAGCUUGUGAUGCCCCUAAACUCACCCUCAAGACGGUCCUAGCCACCCCGACUGACCAGGCACCACGAAAGCCAGGGCACAAACUGGGAUUAGAUACCCCACUAUGCCUGGCCCUAAAUCCAGAUGUUUAACUCUACCAAACAUCCGCCCGAGAACUACGAGCACAUACGCUUGAAACUCUAAGGACUUGGCGGCACCCCAAACCCACCUAGAGGAGCCUGUCCUAUAAUCGAUAACCCACGCUACACCCGACCGCUCCUUGCAAGGCAGCCUACAUACCGCCGUCGCCAGCUCACCUCAUCUGAGAGGCUAGCAGUGAGCAUAAUAGCUGCCCCGCUAACAAGACAGGUCAAGGUAUAGCCUAUGGAGCGGAAGAGAUGGGCUACAUUUUCUACCCUAGAAAACCAACGAAAGGGGACAUGAAAUUGCCCCCAGAAGGCGGAUUUAGCAGUAAAGAGGAAUAACAAAGUCCCCUUUAAACAGGCCCUGGGGUGCGUACAUACCGCCCGUCACCCUCCUCAUGAGCCAUCAACCUAAAAGUCCUUAACACAACUAUCGGCCAAAGAUGAGGUAAGUCGUAACAAGGUAAGUGUACCGGAAGGUGCACUUAGCACAC
rnacentral:ncRNA from 1 species